UACAGAGGUCUCAAGCGUUAUCCGGAUUCACUGGGUUUAAAGGGUGUGUAGGCGGACAGUUAAGUCAGCGGUGAAAUCUCCGGGCUCAACCCGGAAACUGCCAUUGAUACUAUCUGUCUUGAAUAUUGUUGAGGUGGGCGGAAUAUGUCAUGUAGCGGUGAAAUGCUUAGAUAUGACAUAGAACACCGAUUGCGAAGGCAGCUCACUAAACAAUGAUUGACGCUGAGGCACGAAAGCGUGGGGAUCAAACAGG
rnacentral:rRNA from 1 species